UGCUCAAGGCAACAUUCGGGAAAUUUUCUCAAAUUCUACUUUCGGAAAAGUUUAUCAAAAUUCAAAGUAUUUUAUUUACAUAUAUAUAUAUAUAUACCUUAGUUCAUAAGCAUAAAGUUAAUCGGAGACAUUUAAAUCUAAUUUUAGAUACUUUUCUAAUACUCUGUUGGGCGGAAUGGCAUGCAAUACAAAAAUAAACAUACGAAUUACACGAAACUAACACGCGAAUCACACUUUAGGGUCUAAUACAGAUUGCAACAAGUACAAACUAAUUCUUUCAAAUUCUGGUUAAAGACGACAUUCGGAAAUUGCAAUUGCUACAAUUGUUAAAAUUAUCUGUUUCAUUGUUUCUUUUGGAUGCUAAAAAUAAAAAUAUAAACCGAGAAAA